GCGGCAGUGUGUACCCCAGGAAGCAGAGACCGUCUGUCUCGCACCCCAGCCGCAGAACAAAAUAUUGAAAGGGGAGACAGUUGGUCCCCCUCUCCACCAGCAAAGAGAGUGUCAGGGAGAGGAGCAGGUUACCCCCUCUCCCCAGCGGCAGUCUACAGUUCAGAGAGAGGAGCUUGUUACACCCUCUCUCCAGCGGUAGCCUAACCCACCAAGGGGAGAUGUUAAGCCCCACAACUGUGCAGAUGGG